GAAAUGCGAUAAGUAAUGUGAAUUGUAGAAUUCAGUGAAUCAUCGAAUCUUUGAACGCACCUUGCGCUCCUUGGUAUUCCUUGGAGCAUGCCUGUUUGAGUAUCAUGAAAUCUUCAAAGUAAAUUUUUUGUUAACUCAAUUGGUUUCUACUUUGGUAUUGGAGGUCUUUGCAGCUUCACACCUGCUCCUCUUUGUUCAUUAGCUGGAUCUCAGUGUUAUGCUUGGUUCCACUCGGCGUGAUAAGUUAUCUAUCGCUGAGGACACUGUAAAAGGUGGCCAAGGUAAAUGCAGAUGAACCGCUUCUAAUAGUCCAUUGACUUGGACAAUACUUUUAUGAUCUGAUCUCAAAUCAGGUAGGACUACCCGCUGAACUUAAGC
rnacentral:misc_RNA from 1 species